GCACAGGCCAGUGUUCCCAUCUUCUAAGCCUCGAAAAGAAUCAGACAAGCUGAAAGCUGAAGUGAAGAAACAGGAGAAGGAUGAGAAGCUAGAUGGAGAUGCAGCUAUGAACAAGUUUUUCAGCGAUAUAUACCAGAGUGCUUAUGAGGACAUGAGGCGAGCUAUGAACAAAUCAUUUGCAGAGUCGAACGGGACAGUGCUGUCUACAAAUUGGAAAGAUGUUGGGACUAAGAAACUGGAGAGCACUCCUCCAGAUGGCAUAGAGCUUAAGAAAUGGUGGUAUCUAUUUAAAUAUUCAUUUAUGUGUCUUGUCAAAAAUAGUGACAAAUAUUUAAACUUCAAUUUUUUUGGUUUUUGCUUGAAUUUUCUCUUCAUUCUUGCGGUGCGGUCUGAAAAAAACGUUAUGAUUAUUGUAUUAGAAAACCUUGCAAGUUUGUGUGUACUUUUUUAGAGUUUCAAGCCAUUCUUGCAUUAUUAUCUUAAAUUGGACUAACUUUCGGUUGGAAAAUGUUGUCACCAUUACAAAACAAAUAUAACAUAACAAAACAAAACCACUGUGGGAACCGAAAUUUGCACUAUCGAUUUCCGUUUAAAUUAGGAGACUAGGAAAACUCUAAUUUCCCAGAGGUCCCGGAUAUCUGCUAAUACCACACGCCAAGCAAUCAGAACACGAGGUAACAACGAUAAAGUAUAAGAAAUCAUAAAAAGAGAGCAAAGAGAAGUCUUAUUCCGAAUUUGCAUAUG